rnacentral:rRNA from 1 species
AUGAACAAAGCUCGCAGCUUCCGAGGUAUGCUUGGCUCAAUAGAUUGCAUGCAUUGGAGUUGGAAGAAUUGUCCUAAGGUAUGGCAUGGGCAAUUCCACGGCCAAAAAAAGGGUUCCACUAUAAUCCUUGAAGCGGUGGCCGAUCAAGAGACUUGGAAUUGGCAUGUUUUUUUGGAAUGCCUGGAUCUUUGA